AUUGAACGCUGGCGGCAGGCCUAACACAUGCAAGUCGAGCGAGCGGCGGACGGGUGAGUAAUGUAUGGGGACUGCCCGAUAGAGGGGGAUAACUACUGGAAACGGUGGCUAAUACCGCAUACUAUCGGAUAACCCAUAUGGGAUUAGCUAGUGGGUGGGGUAAAGGCUCACCUAGGCGACGAUCUCUAGCUGGUCUGAGAGGCUGAUCAGCCACACUGGGACUAAUACACGGCCCUGACUCCUACGGAGGAUGCAGUCGAGAAUAUAGCACAACGGGCGCAAGCCUGAUGCAGCCAUGCCGCGUGUAUGAAGAAGGCCUUAGGGUUGUAAAGUACUUACAGCGAGGAGGCGUUACCCGCAGAAGAAGCACCGGCUAACUCCGUGCCAGCAGCCGCGGAAAUUC
rnacentral:rRNA from 1 species